UAAGCUCAAAAAUAAGUCAAUCCAAACAAAAAUAAUUUUUUCAUUAUUAGCUUAUUGCUUAUUUUUCUUCAAUUUUUACUCUUAUUAUUUUAACUAAAAUACAGCUUCCAGGAGUAUCGAACCAGCCCAUGAAUAGGUUUUCCCGAUACCGAUGGAGAAGCUUGAGAAGUUUGCUCGUAGGUCAGAGAAUAGUAAUAAAUUAGUCUAUUUAAUUCUUGUAGGAGGUCAUAACCGUAUUACCCUAGCUAUUUUAUUUUAUGUAUGUGAUACAUGAAAAUGUGUGUUUAUACUUUAUACUACAAAGUUGGUGUCAUCUUCUCUUUUCUUCUCCAAAUUACCCUACCUAUCUUAUCUUCAUCUUCAAUAUAUUUCUUGUGUUUCUUCAUGCAAAACAUAUCUCUCCGAGAACGUGUGUAUAUCAGAAUAUUGUUUUAUAGCGAAUGAAAUUAAAUAUUUAUCUUUCAUCUUUGAGGGGAUCUUCUUACAACGAACUUAUGGAUGACUCAUUUUGGAGUUUCAUCUCUCACAAAAGUAAACUUAUGAUGACGUUUGAAAAUUUGAUUUUUCUCCUUAAGGAUGACAGAAGAUGGUGGCCGCCCGGUCAUUUGUAUUCGUUCUCGAAUUCGUUCGUUCGAUCCGUCGUUAUCUAAAACCUUUGGUAUGGUUAGUACUUACUGAUAUGUUCCUUUAGCAGAAGUGAAGAGCUAAUUAGGAGAGGGAAAUUGAAUAUGUAUAUCAGCUUCAGUAUAAUCUUUUGAUAAUUAAAGAACUUAAUAUAUUUAUUUUUUCAUUCAUUUUAAAAAAGAAAGAAAGAAAUAAUUUUAAAAUCGAUCAACACAAUUCAACCUCAUAGCUCCAAUUUGUUGUGUUUCCUCAUGCAUUUUCAAUUAUAUCCAAGGUUUUAAAUUGCGGUUGCGGUUGCAGUUGUUGCAAAUGCGGUCAUUGCGGUUACUGCACGCGCAAUGCGGUUGUUGCGGCGUGAAAUCAUUUUGAAAUUUCACAAGCUAUAUAAAAUCAAACUACUAUGUAACUACACUAUUUAUCCACCAUUGCAUAGUCGUAGUUUAUUCUAUAAACAAUAACUUGAAUGUAUUUAAAAAUACACGGUUGAGAGAUUGUUAAAAGU
rnacentral:lncRNA from 1 species